AGGACGAACGCUGGCGGCGCGCUUAACACAUGCAAGUCGAACGGAGAAAGAGCUCGGUUUUUCUUAGUGGCGGACGGGUGAGUAACGCGUGAGUAACCUGCCCUUCAGAGGGGGAUAGCGUCUGGAAACGGACGGUAAUACCGCAUAACGUAUAUAUUGGACAUCUGAUGUAUACCAAAGGAGAAAUCCACUGAAGGAUGGGCUCGCGUCCGAUUAGGCAGUUGGCGGGGUAAAGGCCCACCAAACCGACGAUCGGUAGCCGGACUGAGAGGUUGGCCGGCCACAUUGGGACUGAGACACGGCCCAGACUCCUACGGGAGGCAGCAGUGGGGGAUAUUGCACAAUGGAGGAAACUCUGAUGCAGCGACGCCGCGUGAGGGAAGAAGGUCUUCGGAUUGUAAACCUCUGUCUUUGGGGACGAAAGAAAUGACGGUACCCAAGGAGGAAGCCACGGCUAACUACGUGCCAGCCGCGGC
rnacentral:rRNA from 1 species